GAGAAAUGUCUGUUCAUGUCUCCAGCCCAUUUUUUGAUUGGGUUGUUUGAUGUUUUGUGGUUGAGUUGCGAGAGUUCUUUAUAUAUUAAGGAUAUUAAGCCUUUGUCAGAUAUAUGACUUGCAAAUAUUUUUUCCCAGUUAGUGGGUUGUUUUUUUUUUCAAUCCUGUUUUCAUUUGCCUUGAAGAAGCUCUUUAAUCUGAUGAAGUCCCAUUUGUUUAUUCUUUCUAUUGUUUCCCUUCUCUGAGAAGGCAUGGUGUCCAAAAAGAUCCUUUUAAUACUGAUGUCAAAGAGUGUACUGCCUACGUUUUCUUCCAGAAGCCUUAUGGUUUCAGGUCUCACCUUUAGGUCUUUAAUCCAUUUUGAGUUUAUUUUGGUGAAUGGUGAAAAAGAAUGGUCAAUUUUCCUUCUUUUACAUGUGGCUUUCCAGUUUUCCCAGCACCAUUUGUUGAAAAGACUUUCUUUUCUCCACUGUAUGCCCUCAGCUCCUUUGUCAAAGAUAAGCUGUCCAUAGAUGUGUGGUUUUAUUUCUGGGCUUUCAAUUUUGUUCCAUUGAUCUGUGCACCUGUUUUUGUACCAGUACCAUGCCUUGGCCUUCUCCCGGCCCACAGGGUGGCCAGUGUUUCUGCGGAGCAGGGGCGACGAUGCCUCUGGAUGCCAGGGUUUGUAGAGUGCAGCCGGCCUUCUCCCCUCAGGCGAUGAGUUCGACUCGAGCCUCCACAACUAGUGUCCCUGCGCAGAGAAGGCUGAGUAGCGCAGCACUUGUGCGAGCAGGCUCUUAGGCUGGUGCCCCAGAAGGUGUGAGCCCCACGCCUCUUUGGCUGUUUUCCCAGACUCGGGAGAGCAUCCUGGGCUGAGGGCCUCCCCGAUCGGGGAGACGCGGCCCGCUGGCUCAGGAAAGCCAGGCCGGCGCUUUCACGAGACACCGCCUGAGGUCUCCUGGCAGAUUGCUCUUCCCAUCUGCCGUUGUCACACUGAGGAUGUGGAGGUCCCUGGGCUGGGACUGGACACUGGAUUCCAAGGGUCGAGUGGGGAUCUGCUUAGUGUGACUGUCCCUGUG
rnacentral:lncRNA from 1 species